rnacentral:rRNA from 1 species
UACGUAGGGUGCGAGCGUUUGUCCGGAAUUAUUGGGCGUAAAGGGCUCGUAGGCGGUUUGUCGCGUCGGGAGUGAAAUCCACUGGCUUAACUGGUGGCUUGCUUUCGAUACGGGCAGACUGGAGGUAUGCAGGGGGAGAACGGAAUUCCUGGUGUAGCGGUGAAAUGCGCAGAUAUCAGGAGGAACACCGGUGGCGAAGGCGGGGUCUCUGGGCAGUAACUGACGCUGAGGAGCGAAAGCGUGGGGAGCGAACAGG